AAAUGGCGGUGAAAUAUCUCCUGGUCGUUGUUAGUUCUCCUUGGCAUGCCAUGUACACAAAAGGUUUCCGGUCCAACCCCUAAUGUUAAUUAAUAUUAUUAUGGAUAAAGACUACUUAAGGAAAUCAUACUUGGGCCAUAUGGAACCAGCAUUUCUGUAAUCUGACUCCGGAAAAAACGUUGGUCAACGCAUUGCUCAACCCUACUUCGUAGUCAGUGACAAUGUUACUUGCACUAAUCCCCGGAACACAAGUCUUAAUAUGGUCCAAUACACUUGUGUACGCCAUUUGAGUUUUUCGGGUCAUUAAUGCGUAUGCAACGGGAAAUGCCUGUUAAAAUAAAUAAAAUAGUUAGGGAUGGAGAUAUGAAAACGACUGCUGAUCCAGCGUCAGGAGGACCCAUGACGAACCCUCUGAACAUUUCUCGUCCAUUAGCAGUUUUGAAUAAAUGAACGUAUCGAGCAUCUACC